GAUAAAAUAAUUUUUGCAGGCAGUUUGGAUGGCAACCAUCAGAGGCCAGAUUAACACGAAAUGAGGAGGAUUCCGGAAGUUAAUGCACAAAAGGCGAAUCGGGAAGCAGUUUUUCCAAUAAGAAGCGCCCAAAGCCACACUAAAGCCAGACAUGUGAACCGGCGUUAGCGCCCC
rnacentral:sRNA from 26 species